AUAUAUAAAUAAAUUUUUUAUGGUUUAUAAAAUUUAUUUUGAAUUUAUUUUACAUGUAAAUUUUAGUGUUAGAUUUUAAUUAUUUUAAUAAUAAUUACUAUAUUAUUUGCAGUAAUUAAUAUUAAAAAUUUAAGAAAUUAAGAUUUAGUAAUAAUAAAAUUAAUAACAAAUUUUGUGCCAGCAGUUGCGGUUAUACAAAAGUUAAAUUAAAUUUUAUUGGUAAUUAAUAAGUAAUAAUUUUAUAAUGAAAAUUUUAAAUUAUUAGGUGAAAUUUUAAUUUAAUUAAAAUUUAUGUUAAAAUUAUGAUUUAAUAAAUUUUUUUAUAGACUAGGAUUAGAUACCCUAUUAUUAAAAUUUUAAAUUAAAAUACCAAAAUAGUAGGUAAUAUUUUAUUGAAACUUAAAUAAUUUGGCGGUAUUUUAGUUCAUUUAGAGGAAUCUGUUUAAUAAUUGAUAGUCCACGAAUAAAUUUACUUAAUUUUUUUUUUGUAUAUCGUUGUUAAAAAAAUAUUUUUUUAUAAUAAUAAUAUUUUAGUUUUUAUAUAAUAAGUUAGAUCAGAUCAAGAUGCAGAUUAUAGUUAAGAAUAUAAUGGAUUACAAUAAAUUAAUUUAAAUGAAUAUUAAUUUGUAAUAAUUAAUUAAAGGUGGAUUUAAAUGUAAUUUUAUUUAAUUUAAUAAAAUGAUUUUAAGUUAAGAUAUGUACAUAUUGCCCGUCGCUUUCAUAUGUUAAUAAAAUUGAAAUAAGUCGUAACAAAGUAGAGGUACUGGAAAGUGUUUCUAGAAAGAA
rnacentral:ncRNA from 1 species